rnacentral:rRNA from 1 species
CGCCUCUUGACGAUAAUAAGAGGUCCAGCCUGCCCAGUGAUAACUUCAACGGCCGCGGUACCCUAACCGUGCAAAGGUAGCAUAAUCACUUGUUCUUUAAAUAAGGACUUGUAUCAACGGCACCACGAGGGUUACACUGUCUCCCCCCUCCAAUCAGUGAAACUGAUCUCCCUAUGAAAAAGUGGGGAUAACACUAUAAGACGAGAAGACCCCAUGGAGCUUUAAACCUGAUAGCAAUUUAGUAAAACUACAAAAUUAUGCUAGCGGCUUUAGGUUGGGGUGACCGCGGAGUAAAAACUAACCUCCACAACGAAAAGACUUAAAUCUUAACCAAAGAAUUACUAUUCUAAGAAUUAGAAAACUAACGAACCAUGACCCAAUAUUGAUCAACGAACCAAGUUACCCUGGGGAUAACAGCGCAAUCUACUUCAAGAGUCCAUAUCGACAAGUAGGCUUACGACCUCGAUGUUGGAUCAGGGUAUCCUAGUGGUGCAGCCGCUACUAAGGGUUCGUUUGUUCAACGAUUAAAACCCU